GAUGAAGAACGUAGCGAAAUGCGAUAAGUAAUGUGAAUUGCAGAAUUCAGUGAAUCAUCGAAUCUUUGAACGCACAUUGCGCCCCUUGGUAUUCCGAGGGGCAUGCCUGUUCGAGCGUCAUUAUAACCCCUCAAGCUCAGCUUGGUGUUGGGGCCUGCUGCACUGGCAGCCCUUAAAAUCAGUGGCGGCGCCAUCUGGCUCUAAGCGUAGUAAUUCUUCUCGCUAUCGAGUCCUGGUGGAUGCUUGCCAUCAACCCCCAAUUUUUCUAUGGUUGACCUCGGAUCAGGUAGGGAUACCCGCUGAACUUAAGCAUAUCAAUAAGCGGAGGA
rnacentral:misc_RNA from 1 species